rnacentral:rRNA from 1 species
CACGUAGGGUGCGAGCGUUGUCCGGAAUUAUUGGGCGUAAAGAGCUCGUAGGCGGUGUGUCGCGUCGGCCGUGAAAACCUGCAGCUUAACUGUGGGCUUGCGGUCGAUACGGGCAUCACUGGAGUUCGGCAGGGGAGACUGGAAUUCCUGGUGUAGCAGUGAAAUGCGUAGAUAUCAGGAGGAAUACCGAUGGCGAAGGCAGGUCUCUGGGCUGAAACUGACGCUCAUGCACGAAAGCGUGGGGAGCAAACAGG